GAUCACGAUGAUGACUCCAUAAAAUUCAAGCUCAACAGACCGCAGUGCAGUGCUUUCUUCUCUUUCGAGAGAUUGCUUUGCGUGUCGAUAACCCCGCUGAACUGAGUGAUC
rfam:Medicago truncatula strain A17 chromosome 7, whole genome shotgun sequence.